rnacentral:rRNA from 1 species
GACGAACGCUGGCGGCGUGCUUAACACAUGCAAGUCGAACGAUGAAGCUGGAGCUUGCUCUAGCGGAUUAGUGGCGAACGGGUGAGUAACACGUGAGCAAUCUGCCCUUGACUCUGGGAUAACUACGGGAAACUGUAGCUAAUACCGGAUACUUUCACCGGGGGGCAUCCUCUGGUGAUGAAAGAAUUUCGGUCAAGGAUGAGCUCGCGGCCUAUCAGCUUGUUGGUGAGGUAACGGCUCACCAAGGCGACGACGGGUAACCGGCCUGAGAGGGUGACCGGUCACACUGGGACUAAGACACGGCCCAGACUCCUACGGGAGGCAGCAGUGGGGAAUAUUGCACAAUGGGCGCAAGCCUGAUGCAGCAACGCCGCGUGAGGGAUGAAGGCCUUCGGGUUGUAAACCUCUUUUAGCAGGGAAGAAGCGAAAGUGACGGUACCUGCAGAAAAAGCACCGGCUAACUACGUGCCAGCAGCCGCCGUAA